rnacentral:rRNA from 1 species
CUUAGUAACGGCGAGUGAAGCGGUAAAAGCUCAAAUUUGAAAUCUAGCGUCUUUGGCGUUCGAGUUGUAAUUUGAAGAUGGUAAUCUUGGAUAUAGUCUUCGGCUAUGUUCCUUGGAACAGGACGUCACAGAGGGUGAGAAUCCCGUGUGCUGAGGUGCCUAUAUCCAUGUAAGAUGCUAUCGAAGAGUCGAGUUGUUUGGGAAUGCAGCUCUAAGUGGGUGGUAAAUUCCAUCUAAAGCUAAAUAUUGGCGAGAGACCGAUAGCGAACAAGUACAGUGAUGGAAAGAUGAAAAGAACUUUGAAAAGAGAGUGAAAAAGUACGUGAAAUUGUUGAAAGGGAAGGGCAUGAGGUCAGACUUGGUAUUAAGCGAUCAUUUCCUCUCGGGGUUGUGCUCUCGCUUUUUACUGGGCCAGCAUCAGUUUGAACGGUAAGAUAAUGACAUUGGAAUGUAGCUUUCUUCGGGAAGUGUUAUAGCCCUUGUUGAUGUUGCCAGUUUGGACUGAGGACCGCGCAUUAUUGCUAGGAUGCUGGCGUAAUGGCCUUAUGCCGCCCGUCUUGAAACACGGACCAAGGAGUCUAACGUCUAUGCAAGUGUUUGGGUGUAAAACCCGUACGCGUAAUGAAAGUGAACGUAGGUCUGAGCCUUCGGGUGCAAGAUCGACCGAUCCUGAUGUCUUCGGAUGGAUUUGAGUAAGAGCAUAGCUGUUGGGACCCGAAAGAUGGUGAACUAUGCCUGAAUAGGGUGAAGCCAGAGGAAACUCUGGUGGAGGCUCGUAGCGGUUCUGACGUGCAAAUCGAUCGUCGAAUUUGGGUAUAGGGGCGAAAGAC